rnacentral:lncRNA from 1 species
GAAGGACCGAACGCGGCUGCCGCGCGCCGGCGCGUGUGGCCGGCGGGUACGUCUCGAUGGUUUCGAAAACCUCAGCGCAGCGUCUGAAGAAAUUUUUUCAACGUCGCGUCCGCUAGAUCCGUCGGCCAGAUCCUCGCGCGCGAAGGCAGCAUGGGCGACUUCUUCUCCCCCCUCGAGGAGGACAUCGUCUCGCGCGUCGAAGCCGACGAGGACGCGGAGGCGAGGGCGGAGAGAGCGCGAGCCGCGGCCGGGGACCACCCGAGGGUCUUCGCGCUGGUGCGAUCCCGAUCUGAUCCGAUCCUCGCGUCGCCGCCUCUCCCUCCGCGUCCCGACAGCCUCGCCGUCCGCCGUCCCUCCCUCCCUCCCUCCCUCCCUCGCGCCGCCCGCGACGCCAUCUCUUCCGCCACUCCACUCCGCGCGCUGACCCGACGCCGUCGCUCCGCGACCCGCGCUCCCGCAGUGGAACGCGUCCGCGCGCGCGAAGAUCGCGUCCGCGGGCGCGCUGCGACCGAACGUCCUCCUCGUCGCCGCGGGCCCGCUCGCGUGCCGACUCGUCGAGCGCGACGGCGCCGCGGCGAUCGACCUCGACCUCAAACCUCUGGGCGCGAU